rnacentral:pre_miRNA from 1 species
AUGGUACUUCCUCCGCCCGAAAAUACUUGUCGUGGAAAUGGAUGUAUCUAGAUGUAUUUUAGUUUUAGAUACAUCCAAUUUUAUCUGUUUGUGCGACAAGUAUUUCCGGACGGAGGGAGUAUCUC